GGAUAAAGCUACUAAGCGUACACGGGGGAUGCCUUGGCACCAACUGCCGAAGAAGGGCGUGGCAAGACUGCGAUAAGCCUCGGUUAGUCGUCUAGCUGACUUAACCGGGGAUUCCCGAAUGGGGUAACCCAAUUCACUAAAUGUGGAUUAUCUUUGAACUAACCCUUAAUUCAAAGAAGGUAAGCAGGGGAACUGAAACAUCUAAGUACCCUGAGGAAGAGAAAUCAAAAGAGAUUCCCGUAGUAGUGGCGAACGAAAUGGGAAUAGCCUAAACCAUAGAGGCUUCACGGCUUUGGGGCCCAUGUCUUUAUGGGGUUGCAAGAAGUAUGUGUUGAGGCCCAUAACUCAACGAGGAGUAAGAAAACCAUUUUCUAUUCGAAUGUUCCUGGAACGGACAGCCAGAGAAGGUGAGAGCCCGGUAGAUUAAAGGAAAUGGUCUCCUUAUUACUUUCUUAAGUAGAGCGGGACACGUGAAAUCUUGCUUGAAUCUGGGGGGACCAUCCUCCAAGGCUAAAUACAGUUGGUGACCGAUAGUGAACUAGUACCGUGAGGGAAAGGUGAAAAGUACCCCGAGAGGGGAGUGAAAUAGACCUGAAACCGUGUACGUACAAACAGUCGGAGUAUCGAUUUAUCGAUAUGACGGCGUGCCUUUUGAAGAAUGAACCUGCGAGUUACUGGGACGUGGCAAGGUUAAUCUGCUAAGCAGAGGAGCCGAAGCGAAAGCGAGUCUGAAUAGGGCAUUCAGUCGCGUUCCGUAGACCCGAAACCAGGCGAGCUACCCAUGGCCAGGUUGAAGCUCAGAUAGUCUCUGAGUGAAGGACCGAACCCAUUUCAAGUACAAAUGGAUGGGAUGAGUUGUGGGUAGAGGUGAAAUGCCAAUCGAGCUUGGAAAUAGCUGGUUCUCCCCGAAAUGCAUUUAGGUGCAGCGUUGAAGAUUGACUUGAGGAGGUAAGGCUCUGGAUGGGUCAGGGGGUGCAAACUUACCGAUCCCAACCAAACCAAGAAUGCCUUAAGCUCGUACUUCAGCAGUGAGACAGUGGGGGAUAAGCUCCAUUGUCGAGAGGGAAACAGCCCAGACCACCGUCUAAGGUCCCCAAGUAUAUACUCAGUGUGAAAGGAAGUUGAAUCGCCAAAACAGCCAGGAGGUUGGCUUAGAAGCAGCCACCCUUUAAAGAGUGCGUAAUAGCUCACUGGUCGAGGGGUUCUGCGCCGACAAUUUAACGGGGCUUAAGUAUAUCACCGAAGACGUGGCAUCAGUUUACUGAUGGGUAGGGGAGCGUUCUGUAGGCAGUGAAGUCUAGUUGUAAAGCUAGGUGGAGCGUACAGAAGUGAGAAUGCAGGUAUGAGUAGCGUAUAUCUCGGUGAGAAUCCGAGACGUCGAAAAUCUGAGGAUUCCUACGCAACGUUUAUCGACGUAGGGUUAGUCGGUCCUAAGGUGUAUCCGAAAGGAGUAACCGAUGGACAGUAGGUCAAAAUUCCUACACCACCUAUUAUUCGUUUUAAUACAAAGGGGGGACACGGAAAGGUAGGCUGAGCGUGCCUAAUGGACAUGGUGCGUUCUUCUUUGAAGGCCAUCUCGCAAGACAUGUAAAUCAGUUAGCGAGGUUAUGAGCUGAGGAAGGAGAGAACUCUAGGGCUCGCCCUGGGGAAUUCGGUUGAACCUAUGCCGUCAAGAAAAGCCUCGUUGUAAGGAUAAUGGGUGACCGUACCGUAAACCGACACUGGUAGAUGAGCAUGAAAGUGCUAAGACGGUCGAGAGAACUCUGGUUAAGGAACUCGGCAAAAGGACCCCGUAACUUCGGGAUAAGGGGUUCCCUCGGGGUGAAGUCUAUUUACUAGACCAGCUCUAGAGGGACACAGCAAAUUGGCCCAAGCGACUGUUUAUCAAAAACACAGGUCUCUGCUAAGGGGUAACCCUAGGUAUAGAGGCUGACGCCUGCCCAGUGCCGGAAGGUUAAAGGGAAAGGUUAUCCGUAAGGAGAAGCUUUGAACUGAAGCCCCGGUGAACGGCGGCCGUAACUAUAACGGUCCUAAGGUAGCGAAGUCCCUUGUCGGGUAAGUUCCGACCCGCACGAAUGGCGUAACGACU
rnacentral:rRNA from 1 species